AAGACGGUCUUGCUGUCACUUAUAGAUGGAUCCGCGCUGCAUUAGCUAGUUGGUAAGGUAACGGCUUACCAAGGCAACGAUGCAUAGCCGACCUGAGAGGGUGAUCGGCCACACUGGAACUGAGACACGGUCCAGACUCCUACGGGAGGCAGCAGUAGGGAAUCUUCCGCAAUGGGCGAAAGCCUGACGGAGCAACGCCGCGUGAGUGAUGAAGGUCUUCGGAUCGUAAAACUCUGUUAUUAGGGAAGAACAUAUGUGUAAGUAACUGUGCACAUCUUGACGGUACCUAAUCAGAAAGCCACGGCUAACUACGUGCCAGCAGCCGCGGUAAUACGUAGGUGGCAAGCGUUAUCCGGAAUUAUUGGGCGUAAAGCGCGCGUAGGCGGUUUUUUAAGUCUGAUGUGAAAGCCCACGGCUCAACCGUGGAGGGUCAUUGGAAACUGGAAAACUUGAGUGCAGAAGAGGAAAGUGGAAUUCCAUGUGUAGCGGUGAAAUGCGCAGAGAUAUGGAGGAACACCAGUGGCGAAGGCGACUUUCUGGUCUGUAACUGACGCUGAUGUGCGAAAGCGUGGGGAUCAAACAGGAUUAGAUACCCUGGUAGUCCACGCCGUAAACGAUGAGUGCUAAGUGUUAGGGGGUUUCCGCCCCUUAGUGCUGCAGCUAACGCAUUAAGCACUCCGCCUGGGGAGUACGACCGCAAGGUUGAAACUCAAAGGAAUUGACGGGGACCCGCACAAGCGGUGGAGCAUGUGGUUUAAUUCGAAGCAACGCGAAGAACCUUACCAAAUCUUGACAUCCUUUGACAACUCUAGAGAUAGAGCCUUCCCCUUCGGGGGACAAAGUGACAGGUGGUGCAUGGUUGUCGUCAGCUCGUGUCGUGAGAUGUUGGGUUAAGUCCCGCAACGAGCGCAACCCUUAAGCUUAGUUGCCAUCAUUAAGUUGGGCACUCUAAGUUGACUGCCGGUGACAAACCGGAGGAAGGUGGGGAUGACGUCAAAUCAUCAUGCCCCUUAUGAUUUGGGCUACACACGUGCUACAAUGGACAAUACAAAGGGCAGCGAAACCGCGAGGUCAAGCAAAUCCCAUAAAGUUGUUCUCAGUUCGGAUUGUAGUCUGCAACUCGACUACAUGAAGCUGGAAUCGCUAGUAAUCGUAGAUCAGCAUGCUACGGUGAAUACGUUCCCGGGUCUUGUACACACCGCCCGUCACACCACGAGAGUUUGUAACACCCGAAGCCGGUGGAGUAACCUUUUAGGAGCUAGCCGUCGAAGGUGGGACAAAUGAUUGGG
rnacentral:rRNA from 1 species